GACUGUGGAUAAAUGCUAGUGGGAGCUGAGAGUGAGACAGAGAGAGAGAGAGAUUCCAUGGUGCAUGAUGUCUGAGAAGAAGAAUCUAAAGGAGAAGAAUCCAAGCCUGGAUGGAGGGAUUGCUUUUGAUGCUCCUUCCCCGUCCCCAGUGGUCAGGAGGUGGCGAUGGAAGUUCCAACCCUCUAAUCUCACAGUCGGAUCCUCUGACAACUAGCCCCCAUCCUCCAAGAGUCGUCUCAUUGGCAUAAACUCAGUGCAUAGUGGUAAGGAAGGAGGUGGAAGAAUUGGAACUUCAAAAUAAUAAAGUAUAAAGAAAUGGCAAGUUCUCCAGAUUUUCUAAAAGGAGCAGAGAAGAGCGAACUUCUAGAGAUGCCUCUCACCACAGAGAGCAAAAUAAUUGUUGGCUGAGUGUUCUGACUCCUCAUCUGAGAUCAGCCUUUGCGUGUGUGCCCCAUCCUGCCAAUCACGUCUUACAGGAUCAUUCCACACUUGGAAUAUUGGAGGGGUCUGUCAGAUCUGCCCAUCACCCAUGAGAUGCGCAACGUGUGACAGCCAAAGACUGGUUAGAACUCAAGAAGGAAGCCUCCAAAGACCCUUUCUCCAAGCUGCUUAAGACUU